rnacentral:rRNA from 1 species
CCAAAUGGGUGGUAAACAUCACCUAAGGCUAAAUAUUGGCGAGAGACCGAUAGCGAACAAGUACCGUGAGGGAAAGAUGAAAAGAACUUUGAAAAGAGAGUUAAACAGUACGUGAAAUUGUUGAAAGGGAAACGAUUGAAGUCAGUCGUGCUGGCGCGAAAUCAACCUUCUCGUCUUGAGAUCACAUGGCGUGGCGAGCCUCAAAACCGUCACGAAGCGUGAACUCUUGGUGAAAUGGAGCACUUUCGUGUCCGCUGGUUAACAUCAAUUUCGAACGUCAUAAAAAGGCUGGAGGGAUGUGGCUCCUUCGGGAGUGUUAUAACCUUUAGCGGAAUGUGGUGUUCGGGAUUGAGGAUUGCAACGAAUACCUUUAGGGCUGUUCCACCUGGCUUCUCUUUGGUAUCCUGGUGACGACAGCUUGCUGACGUCGUUAGGAUUCGCCUUUGAACAGGCUAGAGUGUGAGCAAA